CCUGUGGUGAAUAACAAAUUGCACACUGCGAAAAUAUUCAGCUGCUGAUGUCUGUCAGCUUCCUUCUCUUUCACCACUUGGGUAUAGGUGUGUGUGUUCAUACAAACAUUAAAAGGUCUGUGAGGGGAAUGUUUAAAUUCAUCACAAGACCUGCAAGUGCCGGUAGGGGCUUAUCAUGGAGGACACAAACGGCAGCGUGUUAACAUACCAUCACAGUGUUUUCUAGCGGCAAUGGGAAUAAACACUAUCGCAUGGCAAAGUGUAAUGCAAAACAUGAGGUAUCCAACAAAGUUGGGAACUGAACAAAAAUUCAACAAGGCUUAGGUGAGACUGGAUAACUUUUAUGUAUAGUAUAGUACAGGCCUGGCCCAAGACAUUUUGGUGCUUGAAGCGAAGCAUAAAAUGGUGCCUCCCGCCAGGGAAGAAGGGGUGAGAGAAGAUCUACAUCGGAAGCAAGUGGGGAGUGAAGAUCUACCUCAGGAACAAGCUGGUGAGUGAGGUCUACAUUGGGAAUAAGGCAGAAGGGGAAUCAUAGCAACUUUUCCAGGUUUACUUCACUUGGAUUGCCAUCUUCAAAUGACAAACCAAACACUAGGUCAUUGGCUUAGGUAACUAUCUAUUUUCUAUUUGUCCAACAUUACUACUGAGCUGCUUAUACAGCGAAAAGGAUACUGGCAAGAAUAUAGUGAUACUGCAAAACUGGAAAAGCUAUUCAUUUAUUGUAAAAAACACACACCGUCAAAGCGGUUUACAAAAAGAUAAAACUAUAAAAUCAAGAAAAACCCACAACCAUAAUUUAAAACAUACAAAAGCUAAAAUACAAAAAAUUAAAAUUACCUCAACUUUCUAAGCAUCUAAGAACAAAAGAGAUCAAAACUGCUGAAACAAAUACACAAGCAGCAACAAAAACAGCUGAGCAGUAAAAGAUUGUGCCCUGUAUUCUUGACGUGCUUUGAGUUGAGUUCUUUUUCAGGGAAAAUUGUCUUUCAAAUAAAUAAAGGUAGUAGACUGACUCAAGCCCUUGUUGGAAAUGGUAACUGCCUUAAACAGAUGGAGAUAAUUUGAAGUAAAGUUUUUGAACCUGAAAUUAGUUGUCAAUAAAGAAUAAAUGCAUUUGUGGGGUGCAGGUGGGGGGGGGAGUGGCUUCCUACACAGCUGUUUCCCCUGGUUCCACUAUUAUGAUAAAUGCUGGUGACCUGGCAGGGGAAGUAGAGUGAACCCCAAUUUAUUAUGAUAAAUGCUGAUGAUGGUUUUCCAAUCCUCUGCUUGCAUCUUAUCUGAUUGUACUAGGCUAGGGGUUUAAGGCCAAAUGGUUUGCCAUUUGUAUAUAUUUGAGGCUCAGGAGUGCUCCUAGAAAGUCACCUACUGAAGGAUUUUUGUGCCCUUUAGUAGAUGUAUGGCAUAGCGCAAGGGUUUCUAACCUUUUUGGACCCGUGGACAUGUGAAAUUUUGAGUGUUGUGAGCCCCAAUGACAAAAUGGCUGCUAUGGGGGCAUGGCGCAACACAUCAGCUUCAGGAUAUUGGAGUCAGCAUUUUCCAUAAACUUUUAAAUCCACUGAAAAUUAUCCAGUAAGUUACUAAUAAUAUACCACCGUGUUCUUACUUAUACAUUAAUCUAGAAAUCCAUAAUAUAUCUCAACAAGUAGUUCCCCAUUUCAGAGCUUUUUCAACAGGUCUAACUUUAAAGCAAAGUCAUUAAAGAGUCUUGCAUCAUAUUGAAUUAGGCUGAGAGUCUUCCCUAUAAUUUAUUAUUUGAUUUACUUGAUUAAUGAGGCAUGCUAGAUACCAUAUUGAUAUGCUAAAAAUCAACUUCUCCUACAGGUCCAUUAUCCACUUAAAUUUUGAGACACUAUUGAAUGCUCUCAAGUUUUCUCUCAGUGGACUAUCAAAUCGAAGUCUGUUAGAAGUGAUUUGAUACAUUUGUAGAUGAUGCCCUUUAAUGCAGUUUAAAAUGUCAGAAUCAGUGUACAAUUAAAGGAACUACAAUAUAAAAAUAUUUUAGCUUCAAGAUACUAGACUGGAUUUUGUAAAUACAUUGACGAUUGUAGUGAUUCAGCUGCACCAUUAUGAGUUAUCCCCCCAUCAAGGAAAGCACAGUCAGUUAUUAUCACUCAACAUGGCAGGGUUUAGUUAGGAAAAAAAUAAAACUUUCAUGCAAUCAUGCAUCUGUCUACUCAGAAACAAGGACCACUGAGUUGAAUGGCACUUCCUCCCAGGUAAGUGGGUAUAGAAUUGCAGCCUUAAUUGCUUUCUUCCAAACUAGAUAGCACCUGGCAAAGAAAAAUAUGGCUGCAGGUAAAUGUGUAUUCCAGGAAUUGUAUUGUGUCUAAAGGCAAUGGAUAGUUGCUCUUUGAGUAGAAUUCCACAUGACUUGGACUGUACUAACUCCAGAUCAAUAACCUCAAAAUAUCAGUUUAACAGCUGUGACUGGCGAUGUGACAAAACAUUUUCUUGGGGCUGUAAUGACCUGGAAGAAUAGAAAUAAAAUGCAAAAACAUAUAAAUACUUCACUUUGCAAUAACAGCUUCUACUUGACUCUGAAAUAACAUCAGCUGUAAAAAGGGAAAGGGACCCCUUACCAUUAGGUCCAGUUGUGGACGACUCUGGGGUUGCAGAGCUCAUCUCGCUUUACUGGCCGAGGGAGCCGGCGUACAGCUUCCGGGUCAUGUGGCCAGCAUGACUAAGCCACUUCUGGUGAACCAGAGCAGCGCACGGAAACACCGUUUACCUUCCCACCGAAGUGGUACCUAUUUAUCUACUUGCACUUUGACGUGCUUUUGAACUGCUAGGUUGGCAGGAGCAGGGACCAAGCAAUGGGAGCUCACCCCGUCGUGGGGAUUCGAACUUACGACCUUCUGAUCGGCAAGUCCAAGGCUCUGUGGUUUAACCCUCAGCACCACCCACGUCCCUAAUAUCAGCUAUAGGGUUCUUCUAAAAACUGUUAACUAGUAUCCUCUCAUUAUUAAUGUUUUCUACUGUAUAGUGGAAUACUUAAGAUAUGCUGCCUUGCUGAAGAAAGGAUUGAAAUUAAAUCCCUUAUGGUUGUGCCCACCCCACCCCCCCACCUGGAAACAUGGAUGUCAACAAAAAAUAAUCAGGGGAGGGGGCGAGUUCUAUGACUUGUAACAGUUAUUUCUUUUGACCUGCAAACAGACACGCAUACACAGAUAGAUACUCAGGGUGAGAGGCAGAUGUAUGGCUGAGGUCAAAGUAAUUCCUACAGCACAAUCCCAAGCAUUUUUUAAAUUUGAAAUACUUCCCUGAGUUUAACUGGACCUUUGGAUAAAAGAAAGAAAGAAAGAAAGAAAGAAAGAAAGAAAGAAAAGCACAAUACCUUUAUUAUGAGCAAAUAAAAUGUCUCAAAGAAGUGAGCAAAAUUCUUUAUUAUGUUGGGUGUUCUAUCAUCAAACAAACAAAAAGGUGGCAGGGGGUGACAGAAAGCAGGGAAGCCUGUUGGGAAAGAUGUAAGAGGUCAUUCGGUAUAUUAUAUUAGCCUUAAUAUGGAAUGGGGAAUUUGGCAUGCAUUCGUUGAACUUAAUUCUCAGUCAUUAUGUGCUGAGGAACACACCCUCUCUCUUGUUAGGGACAAAGGGUAAAGGAAUUACAGUACAUGAAUGUUAAAUUAGUUUAACAGCUGAAUCCUAUGUGUGUUUACUCAGACGUAAGUCCCACUAUGUAUAAGGAGGCUUUCUUUGUGGUAAAUAAUUAUUGCACCUCAAAUUUGUAUUGCAGACAUUAUCUCAAUUCUCCUCUUUAAUGGUCCAAACAGCACAACUCUUUACACUCGCCCCUCUUGUCCCCUCAUGUUUCCUUUAUUGAGGAUCAUGAUCAGCUUCAGUUUUUCUCCCACACUGGUCAUAAAGCUAUAUCAGUCAUUUGUUCACAGCUUGCUUAGUUGGACCAUACUCUUCUAGAUCUCUGCAGGCCUCAUAGUCUCUGGUAUUUGCUUAACUAUCCCCAAAGUUAUGGAGUGAAGUUUUUCUGUGACAUUAAAUGCUUGACUUGUGGCUGCAGGAUUUUCAGAGUUUUGGAAGCGGGCAUAUUGGGAACAUAUACAACUGGGCAACCAGCCAGCAUUGGUCACAGGGGGCAUUUUAGUAUUCACUUAUUUAAAUGUGGGGAAAGUCCUGCCAAAACUGCAUAUAUUUCUCAUGUUACAAAGUACUGCUCUAUUUACAUUUCCUUCAUUUUCUUUUUAAAAAAACCACGCUGUUUAAAACUGGAUUGAUACUGAGAAUUUAAUACUAUAUUUUAAUUCUUCUUAACAUUUGAUGCUUGGUAUCCUGUUUAUUGAUCAUUUUUAUAAUGUUGCUUUGUUACUAUAUACAGUGGUACUAUAUUAAUUCUUGGCUUUCUUGGGCAUAUGCAACUUUUGCAACAAUUUGUCCAACAUUACUCUCAGAUUCUUCAGCCAUGUUUUUGAUUCAUUAAGUCAUUAGAUUUAUACAAUUCUGUUGCCUUUUAACAUUUUGCAACUCCAAAUUCUUAAUUCCCUAAAUGUUCUAUGAACCUAUACAAGCCAUAAUCCAACUAAAGUCAAGCAUUUUAUUCUAUGGACAAGCGAUGCAUGUCAACAUCUACGGUAAUUGAAAUCAAGUUGAUUAUUACACUUUUCUCCCUUACUACAGCAGCUAAUGGAUGAGUAAGGUUUCAGUGAAACCUGUCGGCAAGAAUCAUAGGAGAUAGACAUGACUGUAAGGAACUCUGCAUAUAAAGAGUGCUGUGUGAAAAUCAUUAAGAAUACGGUACACACCAAUAAUGCCCAGACCUAAUUCCAGGGUUGUAGGCUUGUUUUACUAAAGGGACAAGAGCAUAAGAUAUCUACUUGCUGUAGUCAAAACCAGUGGUCAGUGGGGGGUACUAAUUCAGAGCAAUGGUGGCUCACCAAGGCCAUCAAACCAAGCUACUGAUGCUAUUGUGUAUUGGAAAUUGUAACUAUUAAGCAGAGCUUUAAAUGACUAAAUGGGGGGAAACAGAGCUCAACUUUCCUGAAAACCACUUUUCAUAGAUAUGAAAUUUCCAGGAAGUAGAUGUGUGUGACUACUGUGAAGUGAGAGAAAGUCACUCUACAUAUGCUUGGGAUUACUCCUUAUUAAGAACACAGACUAGCUUUGGCUCAAAUUUACUUUUUUAUAUGCAUAGUUGAAACCUACUCAUUUUUCCUGUGCAAUAUCCCCUUUGAAUACUGAAAAUGAAAAAGGUAGAAACACCAGGCAUUUCUGCAUCUGCCUGUUGAUACUUUUGCUAAACAUCUACAUUCAUUUAAAAAACACCCAAAAGAUGUAUGGAAAACAAUUGUACCAUUGCCACUAUACUUAAAAUAAUAGUAAAAAAUAAACUUUUUUUUUAUUUAUAUCCCGCCCAUCUGGCUGGGUUGCCCCAGCUACUCUGGGUGGCUUCCAACACAUAUAAAAAAACAAGAAACCAUCAAACAAUAAUAGUAACAAUCUGAUCCAAUAUAAAAAGUCACAAUAACUUUAAAAUAAGCAACUUGUACCAUACAAAGCAACAUUCAACAAUCCAUCAGAAUCUAAUAGUAAACAGUAAAAUUAAAUAUCAGUAGAUAAUAAUUAAACAGUUUACACUUAUCAACCACAAGAAAGAAUUACUAAUCUAUAAUCAUUAAAACAACAGCAAAAUAAUUUCAUGCAAAUAUAGAUACUUUGUGCAUGCCAUACAUAUGGUCUUUGAAUGUAUAUAGAUGCUUUGUUUUACUAAUAUAGAACUUUGCAUUAUCUUAUAUUAGUUUGCAAACAUAUUUUGUAAAACCAAAGGAGACAUGAAUCACUUUGGCUCAAGGGAGUCAUUUUUAAGGGGGGUAUUUUGCAGGGGAACCUAGGGACUGGUGACACCCUGAAACACAACAGUACAUCAUGUAUCUGUUAGGGCAUAAAAUAUAAACAAAUGUGACUAUCACAAUUGGUUGAGGUAUUGUUCAUUUUAAUCUUCUUAUACUGCACACAAAAAUUUAAAUCAUAAAAACGAAUCAAUCACCUUGAGUUCAAAAGACAAGCUUUUGCAUUGGUGUGUAUGAAUGUGCAAUGCAAGAGUCCCUUGUACAUGCGCAUAAAUACCUGUCCUACACAUUCAGAUAAACACAGCUGUGUUUAUUCCAGUGUGCAAGAUUCCAGAUGUGCGUGUGGUCACAUGUACACAUGGGGCACUCCACCUUAUUACUUUACAAUUUUCCAUUACAUUUUCAAAUCCUUAAACUUUGGUGUCACAGAGACCUAUUCAGAAAACACAAAAAUGAUGCAGCAGGAGAUAUUAAAGGCCUUCUUUAUUUGAAUUCAUGCUGGUGGAGGGCAGUAUUUCGUGCAGAGUUUCUGCUUCUCCUAAAAGUAUUGGACAAUAUUUCUUCAAUUUAAUAUUGGCAUGAAGUUAAGACAAUCCACAUUGAACCGGAGAAACUAAUUCACUUCUAUCAUGAUGUGAGGACUUAAAAUAUGAGGUGAGAAGAGAAGGGGGUACAGUACUGAAUCUUUUCCAGUGUUUACAUUAAAUUGCUCCACUGUAUAUAUACCAGGUAUAACUCUCAUUCAGCUUGUAAAGUCUGAUUCCAUACCAAGCAUACUUCAUGGAAACUAUUUGAACAUAAAUCUUCUUCGAAUUACAGGCAAUAUACAAACCAACCAAACAUGUUGGUUUAGAAGCAGAUGCACCUGCGAUGUACUACUUGUUGAAGGUUACAGUCCAGUUAACAUCUGGGAAGUGCCUGAAAAUUCCUAUUUUGCCUUCAGAAUAGGCCCCUAAUAAAAGUAGACAAUGAAAAGGAGGACACUGCUUCAGCAUUACCCUCCAUAAGUGUGUCAUUCGCUAACGUCACAUGUGCUCACUCAACUGCUUCGAUCUGCAGAACUGGCAUUAUUACAGGUUCCACGUAAUACUCAUUCCAUGUUCAUAAGAAAUUUUAAUUAUUUUUAAAUGUGCUUAAUUUUUUUUUUUACUAUUUUUAUUAUUAAUUUUACUAUUUCUUGUAUACUGCUUGGAGAUUUUACUAUAAUCAAGCAAUAUGUAAAGGUUGUUAAAUAACUAAGUAAACACUAACAUUGCUAAGAAAAUUGGUAUGAAGAAAUAAAAUACAUGUGUGCCUUAAUAAAAUUACAAUUUCAGCAAAUGCAAAGGGAGAAAAAUCCUGCUGUAGUAAGACAUUAUCAUUAGCAGUGGCAGAUUUAUAGGUAUGUGUGGUAUGCACAGAAUUAGAGCUCCCUGAGCCCCCAAGUCAUUAGUAUACAUUGUUGACUGAGAUGGUAUUUUUGAAACAUGACUGCAAACAAUGAAUAGCCGUUGUUGACUUCUAGUAUUUUAGUUUGUUGCAUUGUUUCCACUCUUCAUUGCUCCUGCUCCCUGAUUAAAGUCAGUAUAUUCUGGCCCAUUAGGAAAGCAGGGCUUAGCCCUUCCAAGUGAAAUGUCAAGCAACUUUUUGUUCAGGUUUCCCCUUAAACUUCAAAGCCACACUAUUUCAUGCCCCACACAUCCUCUCGUGACCCAUUUGAAUUUAGAGAGCCAGGGCAAACAUUUCUAUCAAUCUCCUUCUCUCUAGCCAGUCAGUUCUCCAAGAAACCACACAAGUGUAACAAUAAAAAUACUAGAAUACUACAGGGUGAAAAUGGCAUUGUCUGGCUGCUCAGUAAAAAGUGAAUGUAUAAAGGGUGGCAAUACUAGAGAAAAGGGCCAGUGUAGAAAGAGCUAACAAAACAGGACUAAUAUCAUUAUGGUGUAUUUCCCAUCUCAUGCUGUUCCUGCUUCUAGACUUAGAAAUUUACAUUUUCAUAUGAUUGUGGGUUUUUUUUUAAUAAGCCACUUUGUAGACUCAUAAUGUAGUGCC